GCUGAGGUCGCUGAGCGAGAUGACUGGGUGCGCGCAGAUAAACAAGUCAGACACGCAAUCGGUAGUAAGUGAUGGGGCCAAAAACGGCAGGGCCAAGGCGAGGGAGCAUUUUUUUGUUCCCGAAAAGCCGCUAAAGCAACAGUUGAAGAACAUUAGGUUAGCUGAAAAGCAUUUGGCUCGCUGAGAAGGUCGGCUUGGGUGUUCCGUGUUUGCAGGGCAGCACCUGUUGUAAUGUCCCUGCCUGUAGACGUUUUACCCCCCACACCUCCAUUUUUAAAAACAUUUUUCUCGCUUGGAGAAUUGGUUGGUGAUUUGGCUGGCUAGAGAAGUUGGGCUUGAUACUGCAUAUACAAAACGGAGUGUGGUCUUGCCCCUGCCUUCGAGAAGCUUACAGUCUAGUAGAGGACACGCACAUGUGAACAGGUUUCAAGAUUCAGCUGCCAUGCUGUAACCUCUCCGAAAGGCUCCCUUGAUGUCACCUCCCAUCUGGAUGAAUUGUCACACAAAAGGCCAGAGGCACCUGUCUCAGACAGCUUGGGCGAGCACAUUUCUCAACAGAAGGAACCUAUUAAGAAGGUUCGAAGAACAGUGCAAAAAAUAAAUACCAUCCCUCAAGACUGUGUUGUGAACUUUGAGUAAUUGCGGUCUGAGAUGUACAUUCCUGGAACAAGAAAUGACAAACCAGUCAGAGAUCGGUAUAAACAAGGAGACGGCAUAGGCCCAGGGCCCAGACAAUGAGAGAAGGGGAAGAUCAGUACCUUUUGCAAAACAUUUCCCUCAUCUUCCUGAAGUUUAAUCUGGGAAGGGUUAGAAUUAAAUUCUGGACCACACCAUUUUUAUGACUACAUAUAAUUGUAUUUAAAUGCAUAUGAAAGCAAAAUGGGUAAUACAGUAGAGUUUAUUUAAGGUUUUGAGUUUUAUGAUUUAUAAGUACUAAUUCCUAUUAUCCUGAUAAAGUUGUGGGUUGAAAGUACCGAUUUGAGUAUUUAAAAAAAAAAAAGGGGGGCUCCUG